AACAGGAUUCCCCCAGUAACGGCGAGUGAAGCGGGAAGAGCUCAAGCUUAAAAUCUCCAUACUUGUAUGGCGAAUUGUAGUCUAUUGAGGCUGUUGUCAGCAUCGCGAUUGGGGACAAGUCCCUUGGAAAAGGGCAGCAUGGAGGGUGAUACUCCCGUCUCUGCUCCAAUUUGCGGUGUGUACGAUACGCUUUCUUUGAGUCGAGUUGUUUGGGAAUACAGCUCAAAGUCARGUGGURWAUUCCAUCUAAAGCUAAAUAUUGGUGCAAGACCGAUAGCGAACAAGUACGUGAGGGAAAGAUGAAAAGAACUUUGAAAAGAGAGUUAAAGAGUACCUGAAACUGUUGAAAGGGAACCGUAUCGUUUCCAGUGUUUUAUCUCGUGCAUAUUUCAUUCGCGGAGCAAUUUGCGGGUGCCCUGUGCAUGGGUGUGACGUCAGGGUCAGUUUGUAUGCUGCGGGAGAUGGUCAGUGAGGAGGUGCGUCACUUCGGUGAAAGUUAUAUCUCGCUGUCUAGUAGCCGUGGUUGAGACUGAGGUGCCUACAACAUGCCUUAAAGUUCCACGUUGUCUCGUGUUGGUGACUGCUUUGAUAGCUUGCUAUGUCUGUGGUUCAUCAAUGCGAUCGGUGGUGUGGAUAACUUUUGCUGUUCGGGACUCUGGCGAAAUGGAGCGAUACGACCCGUCUUGAAACACGGACCAAGGAGUCUAACAUGUGUGCAAGUAUUAGGGCGUGGAAACCCAAAUGCGUAAUGAAAGUAAAUGCUGCUUAUGCAGCUUUGGUAGGAAAGGGCUGUCAAGGUCCUGGCACUAUCGACCGAUCAUGAGCCUACGGGCAAAAGAUUGAGUAUGAGCAUAUAUGUUGGUACCCGAAAGAUGGUGAACUAUGCCUGAAUAGGGUGAAGCCAGGGGAAACUCUGGUGGAAGCUCGUAGCGAUUCUGACGUGCAAAUCGAUCGUCAAAUUUGGGUAUAGGGGCGAAAGACUAAUCGAACCAUCUAGUAGCUGGUUCCCUCCGAAAUUUCCCUCAGGAUAGCAGCAACUUUUUACGAUAGUUUUAUGAGGUAAAGCGAAUGAUUAGAGGCCUCGGGGAAGAAACUUCCUCGAC
rnacentral:rRNA from 1 species